CUAUUGGCUGGUGAACCCAUGAAUAACUCAAAAAAAUUUCAAGUAUAAAAUACUUAUUCUUGGGUUCACCCCUAGGUUCACCAACCAAUAGGUUGUGUUAUUUCAUAUCCGAUAUCUUUGAGAAAAAGAAACAAAAUAUUGUCACGUUAUAUUAUGUUUUAAAAAUAAAAAGUUUAAAAAUAAAAAAAUAAAAAAAUAGCAAUAGUUGAUGGUAGGAGUUUCAAGGCUCCCAAUCAAAUGUUGUAAAAUAAAGGAUGUCAAACCAGUUCUAAGUGAUUCUAAAGCAAAGGGAAUCAAAGACCAUGCUUAAUCUAAGUACUAUCAAUUGAUGAGAUGAUUUUUGAACCAGAAUGCCACUGAAAUGCAAUAAAGGACAAAGCUUUCUUUCUUAUGAAAUAAGAGAACUCAUGGGCUAAAGAAAUUGAUCUUGGGUGAUCAAGUUUCAAUCUAAAAGUGUUAACUUUCAACCAAUAUUUCCACCUUAGACCUAGACACCAUC
rnacentral:lncRNA from 1 species